CGGAAACACUGCCUUGUCUGAUCACCGCAGCAACUGUGUGGCUGUGCGCCGCUGCUAACUGCACAUGAUACAUCUUGGCACACGCGAAUAUACACACGCGCGGUAGAGGACACAUCAAACAAGUACAGUAACCACCACCCCAUGCACACCGCACUCACCACCACCAUCAAUACAUAUAUAUGUGUAUCUCCUGCGUGAGCAGGCGCCGAAGCGCAGACAUCAUGUCCUACAGCACUCUUCUGCUUCUUCCUUUGCAUUUUCGUGCGCCGCCUCUUACUUCUUUUUCUUCAUUUUUCCACGUUGUACUGUGGUGAGUGCGUGCGCCUCGAACAGCGAAUGCUAGCGGGCAACUCAAGCGCUCUCACUCCUCCUUCUACUGCUUGCCCCUUGCUCUCCGCCCUAAGCCAGCAGGUGAGUGCGCCAGUCUCUGCGGAAGGAUCUGAAUGCACCGAAAUGCCUCAUAGUAGACCCCAUUGGCCCGACUCUGCUGCAUACCUCUCUCACGCGAUUGGAGGUGUGCCGGAGAGUUGUAUUUCGUGUGCGGCUGUGGUCUUGACGGUGCAGAGGUGGGCGGGGGGUGGGUGCGCGUGCGCUGAGUUUUCGAUGGACUGGUGCCGGAAAGAAAGCUGUGCAUGGGCAUUCUCAUGCAUGGCCUAGCCUCGCGCGGCCAAGCGUUUGCGGGGUUCCAGACGGUUUACGCCGGCUACCGGUGUGCAUCCUAUGAGCUCCGAAGACCGGGGAAAGGCGGGCGUCCUGCGCACGUGGGGAUUCUGAAUGCGGAUGGCUCAAUCACCAUGCUGCUGAGGGGAGGGGUGCCGGUGUCGGAGGAGUGCAUCCAUCGCCUCGAGGCGGCUGUCAGCCAAUUCACGGACAGCCGCUCGUGCCCGCUGCCGGGAGACGAAGCGGAUGCUGACACAGGGCGGGUUGCGGUGGGUCUGGGAGGACAUAGAUGUUGCCGUCUCUGAGGGGCCCCAUCGCGGACCGACACGCCCACGGAGGAGGAUCCGCGGCCGCUCUUCCGUCUCCCCCCUUCCGUGCUCGACCCGUGGCAUGCACGCAAGGCGUCGCUGCAGGGCAGACACAGCGUGUGGUGGCUCAUUCUGGUAGCGGCAUCGACGGCCGAGCGGACGGAUGCAACGCAGGCCGCGGCGCAAGCAACCGCGGCGCCUUCGGCUGCGAACGGCCCCCAGCCCCGGUCCAUCGACACCGUGUGCCCCGGUGCCGUGGGGAUGCCAGCGCCGCCCAGCGAUCCCUGGCCCGGAGAGCCAACUUUGGGCCGGGCAGGGAGGGACUGCCGCCCCCAGGCGCCAUUUGCUGCAGCGCGACGUGGCGUGGGCCUCUGCUGAACGCUCACCUUGCCCAAAUCGUCAGAACCAACCCGUGUUGUCCAGGCUGUGGCAUGAUGCAGACCGUCGUUAUCGCCGUCUUCUCGGCGAUCUGCUGCGUCGCAUUCAACGGGCUCGGCAUGACGCCACAAAAGAGCCGGGACAUUGCACUGGCCUUGAAGAGGGCCUUCGACUGCCUCCUCACUCCGGCAUGGCUCUCGCGCGUGCUCACCCUCUGCAGCGCAAGCUCCCGGGACGAGCGGACGAUAGGCCCCGUGAUCCUGGUGUGUUUAACCGCGAGCAGGUGCAUGAGACGUUGGGGGGGGGGGCACGGUAGGAAAAGAGCACGCACUCGCAGAGCAGCAGCGUACCGGGGUGCCCCUAUGACGGCACACCCCCAGCGAGGUUUGUGGGUGAGGGGUGCGGCGGAAGCGGACAGAAGGACCAAGCAGCCAAAUGAAGUGAGCGCAACCUUGCACGCCCCCUCUCACGGCGGGCACUACAGUGUACGCCGCUGCGCCGGAAUGUAAGCGCCGCGCAGCUCGAAGAGAGCGCGGGGCGAUUUGAGCAGAAUUUCCGGAGCGAGACAACAUGAGCGCAGCUGGGCAGCCUCUGCGCAUGGCGCCGGCUAUUCGCAGACACGAAGGACCUUGCGAUGGACUUGCACACGGCGCAGCUGUUCACCGACAGCAUGAACAUCUGGUGUCAGAAGAGCCACACGUAUGGUGUGAACAUCAUCAGUGCUCUGCGGAGGCUGGGCCAGCGGCACCGCGAACUGAUACUGCCGGGCACAGCCCCUAGUGCGAGAUACUGUGGUUGGUGCCCCGGAGUGUCCUGCACCUUGCGUCCGAGGAGAUGGUGGUGUACUUGUGGGCGGUGGCCAAGACGAGCAGGGCCAGUCCCUUCCAUCCGCAUCGCUUGUGCGUCGUGCGUGGCGGCGGGACUGCGGGCGUGGCUCAGCGGCCACAGGAGGCCGUGCGGGGACAAAGGGGGAGGGGGCGAGAAGCUGCUUUCGUUACUCGGCAGCCUCACGCUCCGCACCGACAGCGAGCAGCUGCAGGUGCUACCCCAUUCAGGCACUGGCUCGUUGACGUGCCUCGCGCAGCGGACGAGCAACUACCGGCGCCGCUCCAUGUCGCAGCGGGAACUGCUGCGCGCGCGACCCGCGCGACGUGGAGGUCAUCGCGCUCAUCCUCUCUAGCGGCGGCUGGGGGGGAGCGGAUUUGACUGCUGGAAAGGGCGGAUCUCGUGCAGUCUGUGUCUGCGUCGGAGCCCGGGCAGGGCGGCAUUGGCGAGAGGGUGCAGUGGGCGCGCGGGCAGCACGGGGCGAUUGGCAAGCUGCACUGCGAGCGGGUGAGGGGCAUGAGGCUUUGCUGUGCCCUGGCCAAGCACAAGGGCACCAUGAGCUGUGUAGCAGGCAUGCUUGCGGUGCGUUGCGUCCUCACGACGAGCCCACGCGCCCACGGGCGGCAGCAGAGAGGGGGGAGGCCAUGCAUUCCGGCCCGCCAUCCAGAACCUCCCCAAGGCCGCACGGUGGCCCCAGGGCGAGGGUGCGCUCGCGACUGCCGGCGGGGACCUCGUGAGGCGCACGGACGAGCAGGCGUCCGCCUACACGCAGCAUGCCAUCGACGCCGCCAGCCUCAACCGCUUUUUCGACGGAAUGGGAGCGCGCAGCAGCGAUGUGGACGAGCUGCUUGCCGCCGUGCAUCACGGCCGCGUCUCGGCGGCAAGGUGUACGAAUGCGAGGCUGUUGGAGGCAGUGCGGUGCAGUCUCGCAAAGGGUGUGCGGCUGUUCCGCAGCACGCCUUUCCGCCCCGCCCUCGUCGGCCAGUCACGCACAUACGGCGUCGCUGCCUGAGGCGUCUCCUGCCCUUCGUUUUUGUGUCUCUUUCUUUCUUGCGCAGAGCCGCUGCGGUGCCGCGUCUGUUCGUCCUCCUGCCGCCUAUACCUGCUGUCACUCUCUCUGCUGUCUGCAAUGAGCGGCGACGACGCGGCGCGGGUGGUGUAGGCGGUGGCAGCGGUGUGGUACCGCGCGUGAGGGCCAAGAGGAAGGCGGAGUGUGUGUGUGUGUGUGUGUGUGUGUGCUGCUGCCUCCCCUCGCGCUGCCGUCAUGGAUGUGUGUUUUGUUCUCUGGACUUAUGGAGAGGUGCGGGUGGGUGAUGUGGGACUGACUGGUGGCGGCGGAGGCGGUGCGGAGUGGGCGGUGCUGCUGCUCUCCUGCACACGCGUACACAGCGGCCCCUCGUCCCCUUCCCUUCUCCUCUGUACACGCCGCUCGAAAGGCCUCACACAGACGCACCUACGACAACGCGGAGGGGGAGAACGGCGCCGAGAAGCAGCGGACGGCAGGCCCUGCAGCUGCGGCUCUUUGCACUCUCGCUCCCUCGUACGCCGACCUCGCUGUGCGCGGCGCGGUUGCUUGGCUGCCGCGGCCACACGAAGGAGGCGGCGCAAGGCCGGUGACAGAGGCGUGCGCAGGCUGUGUGCAGCGCGAGAUGCCUGCGCGGCACAGCAGAGACUGCGCAAGACGGGAAGAGCGUGGGAGGGGGGAGGCAAGGCUUGCCAGGAGGGUGGCAGGCAGUGCCCUCCGUCCUCUCCGCUUGGACGCCUUCAGCGGUGCUUCCGUCUCGCCCUCGCUGCCGUUGCGGCGCUUCUCGCGUCCGCCGGCCGCCUCUCCGUACGUGCGUGCCUUGCGUGCAUGCCGAGAAGUGGCCCAUGUGCUCCCGCUGUGCGCGCCUCGCAGCGCCACGUGCCCAUGUCCUCGCCACUCUCCCCCGCAUUUCUCUCUCUGUCUCUCCCUCUCUCCUCCCCCGCUUUCACUCCUGCCCACACCCCACAUCCCUCCCCCUCUAACGACACACACACACACACACACAUGAGCGACACCGUGUGCGUGCAUGUGCAACAACAACAG
rnacentral:misc_RNA from 1 species